UACGUAGGGCGCAAGCGUUGUCCGGAAUUAUUGGGCGUAAAGAGCUCGUAGGUGGUCUGUCGCGUCUGGUGUGAAAUCCCGGGGCUCAACUCCGGGCUUGCAUCGGGUACGGGCAGACUAGAGUGCGGUAGGGGAGACUGGAAUUCCUGGUGUAGCGGUGGAAUGCGCAGAUAUCAGGAGGAACACCGAUGGCGAAGGCAGGUCUCUGGGCCGCAACUGACGCUGAGGAGCGAAAGCAUGGGGAGCGAACAGGAUUAGACUACCCCUGUAGUCC
rnacentral:rRNA from 1 species